AUGAGGUAUUUUUUCUUGACGCACCUAAAGGGAAGAACUCUGGUGGAUCCCUGGCGAUGCAAACAUUGUGAUAAGAAGUACACAAGUAGUUAUACAAGAAUUCAUCAGCACUUCUUUGGUGUUGGUCCUGGCAAGACGAAACAAAUUGCUCGCUGCUCUGUCGCAAGUGAUCGCGUCAAGUAUAAGAAAAUAUAUGAUAAGUAUCACCAACCUGAGAAAGUACAAGCUUCAAGCUCGGUGUCUAAAAAGCAAUUAGUAGAAGCUUUUGCUAGGGUGGAAAGAGAUGCAGUGGACAUGCAAAUAAUGAUGUUCCUUUGUGCUAAUGGAAUUCCCUUCAAUGUGUUGAGAAGUCCACAAUACUAUGAAAUGGUAGCAGCCAUCCAGAGAGCACCAAAGGGAUACAAACCUCCUGCAUAUGAGAAGGCUAGGACUACUCUUCUAGAUGCAUGUAAGAGAAAGGUGGAGAAUGAUUUGGCUCCGGUUAGACAAACAUGGUAUUCCCAUGGUUUCUCCGUUGUUUCUGACGGAUGA
rnacentral:rRNA from 1 species